CUUGGUCAUUUAGAGGAAGUAAAAGUCGUAACAAGGUUUCCGUAGGUGAACCUGCGGAAGGAUCAUUACAAGAAACGAGGCCGCGUGCGCUCGCCCGCCCGGCCCCGCUCCUUACCUUGCCUACUGCACCGUUUGUUGCUUCCUGGCGGCGGACUGCCCGCCGCCAGGGACGUUGAUACAACCCUGUAUAGAAGCAUUGAAGCUCUGAGAAAACGCGAAAUCGUACAACUUUCAACAAUGGAUCUCUUGGUUCUGGCAUCGAUGAAGAACGCAGCGAAAUGCGAUAAGUAGUGUGAAUUGCAGAAUUCAGUGAAUCAUCGAAUCUUUGAACGCACAUUGCGCCCCUUGGCAUUCCAUGGGGCAUGCCUGUUCGAGCGUCAUCUAAACCCUCAAGCCCCCGGCUUGGUGUUGGGUGCCUGUCCCCGCUCCCCGCGCGGACUCACCCCAAAUGCAUUGGCAGCCGCCUCUCGGCUUCUUGCGCAGCACAGUGCGCAGCGAGGCGAGGUGAGGCGUGCGUCCAGCAAGCAACCACCCAAGUUUGACCUCGGAUCAGGUAGGGAUACCCGCUGAACUUAAGCAUAUCAAUAAGCGGAGGA
rnacentral:rRNA from 1 species